rnacentral:rRNA from 1 species
GUCUUUUUGAUUAUAAUUGAAAGUCUGACCUGCCCAAUGAGUAUUUAAAUGGCCGCGGUAAUUUGACCGUGCAAAGGUAGCAUAAUCAUUAGUUUUUUAAUUGAAAGCUGGAAUGAACGGUUGGACGAGAAAAUAGCUGUCUCAAUUUAAUUGGUUGUAGAAUUUUAUUUGUAAGUAAAAAAGCUUACAUAAGUUUAAAAGACGAGAAGACCCUAUAGAAUUUUAUAUUAAAAUAGAUUAUUUUAUUUUAGAAUUGUAAUGAAUUAAUUUAUUAAGAUAUUUUGUUGGGGUGAUGGAAAAAUUAAAUAAACUUUUUUUAUUAUUAGAACAUUAAUUUAUGUUUAUUUGAUCCGUAGUUUACGAUUAUAAGAUUAAAUUACCUUAGGGAUAACAGCGUAAUUUUUUUUUAGAGUUCUUAUCGAAAAAAGAGUUUGCGACCUCGAUGUUGGAUUAAAAUUAACUUUUGGUGUAGGGGCUAAAAGGUUAGGUCUGUUCGACCUUUAAAAUUUUACAUGAUCUGAGU